CGGGAAGCGGGCCGUGAAUUGUAAUGCGGAUCUAUUCCCGAAAAUGACGGACGUCAAGUUACGUUACGUAAACGAGAUGAUACGCGAAACUAAAAUGCUAUGUUAUUGUAUUGUUAAGAAACUGUUUUAACUCCGAGACCUAAACAGAUCCAUAAAAGGGAUAUUACAUGAAGGGGAGGAAACGGGGAAGAAAUAAUUGAGGAUAUAUGCAUUGUUGAAAAAGAACUCCUGCUGCCAUCUAGUUCAUCAGGUUUUUGUAUGUCUGGCACUGGAAUACAAGUGGCCCAAGCUAUGAAGGUCGAAUUGGGAAGUAGAGUCAAUCCUCUGGAAGUUGAUGUUUUCUCAAUUGUCGAAGCCAAUAUUCAUGAUAAAUAUUAAAGAAAGAUUUAAAUUUAAGAACUAUUCUAUGUACUUUUUGGUAAAAACUAGGCAAAUAGCCAGUGGAACACAAGAUACUAUUACUGGAAAAUUUUCCAUUGUUAAGAAGAUAGAUAAUGUAAAAGAUAAAAUGGAGUGAAAUAUAUGGUCGCUGUAAUAAAAUAAGGACGUACACUUAUAUAAAAUAUAAUAAUUAUAGUAAUAUAAUAGUACUAUAAUUAUUAUAUUUUAUUAUUGAUAUUAGAAUAUUAUUA
rnacentral:lncRNA from 1 species